GAACAAACACUAGGUAAUCAUUACUAAUUCCCCAUAUUAUUCUUUCUACAUCCUUUUCACUUUUUAACCUACGUAAUGCCUAUUCGUAGAGCACGUUUAUAGGCAACUCUUAACCUCGUGCCUUAUAAUCAAAAAAAAGAGGAAAACACGGAGUAAAGCGAAGGCACGUCUCCUAAUUAAGUGUUUGAAGACACGUUCCUUAGGGCGACGUGUCACAACUGUAUUGGACAGAGGAAUGAUGAAGUCGUUCUCGUUUCUUUCUCUCUUCUCUUUAUCUUCUCGGUUGCUCCGCAAAGGCGACGAAAAUGGCGAUUGUUUCCCCCUCUGGGUGGAGCUCGUCGAUGUCUACAUGGUUUUCUCUCGUCGAUGAUGGACAACGGCGAUUUCUCUCUCUCGGUGCUUUCCUCGACGAAGGAAACGGCGAUUGCUCUCUCUCGGUGCUCUCGACGAAACGGCGAUUCCUCUCCCUCUUGGUGGCUUCGUCGAGGAAGGAAGACGGUGAAUUCUCAAUCGGUGGCUAUCUCUCUCUCCUGGUGGCUCUCUGAAACGGCGAUUGUUUCUGAAGGGAAUCGAAAGAUGGAUCAAGACGCAUGAUCCAGGAUUGAGCUAGAGGCGUGAAGUGGGCACAAAACCUGUCUCUUUGGCAGACAAAACCGCAAAUCGCAAAGGUUGUUUGAUCAAGAUGCUUGAUCGAGUUGGUGAGACAAAAACGAAGAUGACUACCAUCGUUCAUACAUGCUGCGUAGAUCUUUGGAGCAAAGAAGACAGAGGUCACGGGUUUGUUGUUGACAGAGUUCACGGCUGUAAAAGACAGAGGUCACGGCUGUAAAAGGUAGUGGUCAGGGGUUAAUGUUGUUGUUUUGUUUUCACGGUUGUCACGGGUUUGUCAAUCGAACAGAGGUCACGAGAGUGUUGUUUACAUGUUGUUGAUGUAAAGUAUAUUGUCUUCUUGUCAAUCGAACAGAGAUCACGAGAGUUUGUAAAGAACAAGGACUUGCUUAUAAAUUGGUUUGUAUUGUCACAAUUCUCUCCAUUCUCGUUUAAAAAAAAAUCAAACCAAGAUUAUCAUCUCAUGGCAUCUUGAAUCAAACCAAAAAUUCUAUCUCUUCUCAUCAUUCUCUCCAUUCUCGUUUAAAAAAAAAAUCAAACAUUUUUCUAUCUUGUAACCAAAGCUCAAACCAUCACUCAAACCUUUUUCUAUCUUGUAAUCAUCUCAUGGCAUCUUCGUCUGAAGACACUUAUGGUCAUCAAGAAGCUUACGAGGAUAACGAGGAUUCGUUUGAUGAAGCUUUCGAUCAAUAUUUUGAUCAACGUUUCGAUCAAGCAUUUGAGAAUUUGUGCAAUAUGUAUGGUCAUCAAAAAGGGCAAAACAAAACAAGAAAAAGACGAGAAUUUAUUGAAAGAAACCGUGAAGAAUGCCAUCUUCGAUUAUGGAAUGAUUAUUUCAGUGACACUCCAACAUAUCCUCAAAAUCCAUUUCGACGACGAUUUAUAAUGAACAAGCCAUUGUUCAUGCGUAUUGUUGAUCGCCUCUCCAAUGAAGUUCCAUUCUUUCAUCAAAAGCAAGACGUUUCCGGAAGAUUUGGUCUCUCUCAACUUCAAAAGUGUACAGCAGCUAUUCGUGUGUUGGCAUAUGGUUCUGCGCUUGAUGCGGUCGACGAAUA